rnacentral:rRNA from 1 species
UGUUACUUCCAACCAAUCGGACUUCGGGCUGACCUCCAGUGGUAUUGAAGCAUUUUACUGAUCGCACGGGCCUAGAACCCGGCGACAUAUCCCUUCAAAUGUCUGCCCUAUCACUUUUCGAUGGUAGAUUAUGCGCCUACCAUGGUUGUAACGGGUAACGGAGAAUCAGGGUUUGAUUCCGGGAGAGGGAGCCUGAGAAACGGCUACCACAUCCAAGAAGGCAGCAGGCACGCAAAUUACCCACUCCCGGCACGGGGAGGUAGUGACGAAAAUAACAGCUGGUCUCAAUGAGUUCCAGCAUUGUAAUGGGAACAAUUUAAAUCUUUUAUCGAGGAUCUAUUGGAGGGCAAGUCUGGUGCCAGCAGCCGCGGUAAUUCCAGCUCCAUAGCGUAUAUUAAGUUGUUGCGGUUACAGCUCGUAGUUGAUCUAGAUAGGGCUACGGUCGUUCAGCUUGACGUACUGUAUGCCGACUCCUUCUCUAGUAUUCGAUUGUUGCUCUUAAUGAGUGACUUAGUUGCUGGAACUUACCUUGACAUUGAAGUGCUUAACGCAGCAUGCCUGAAUAUGUGCAUGAUA